CUGUUUGCCGAUGGAGCAUCAUCAAGAUUCACAAAAACUUCAUCACUAGGGCUAGUGGAUGAUGGAGUUGAUGGUGGCCUUUACAUCUUUUUUUCUUUCCUUUUGUGGCCCCUUUUCUUCAAAAUCAAUCCAUUAGUCCUUUUGAUCAUGGGAAUCUUGAUGAUGCUGCAGCGGCAAUAAA
rnacentral:pre_miRNA from 1 species